AAAAAUAAAAAAAAAAUUCCACAAAAUUAAAAUAAAUGUGAAUAUUCAUCAAACUUCAAAUAACAUAACACUAAAAAUAAUAAUAGCUAAUAGGCAUUCAAGUAAUAAUUUUGCAAUCCACAUAAAAUAAAAAAUAAAUAAACUACUAAACAUUUAAGAUGGUAAUAUAUUGAAACUUGAUGAUCUUUAAUGUCUUAAAACUAAAGUCAAGCAAUCAUAA
rnacentral:misc_RNA from 1 species